AUCUCCUCCCUUUGUCUAUCUUAUUACAUCGUAUGUGUUUCAUCGUAUAUUCCUUUGUUGUUGUCCAGGGUCAUAACGUCGUUGUUAUUCAAAGAGCCGUGAGAGAAUGAGAGGUAUGUAUCUUUGUAUGUCUGUGUUUAUCUCCCAUGUUUGUCUAUCUUAUUACAUCAUAUGAGUUCCAUCUUAUAGUUGUUUGUUCUUGUUCAGAUUCCAGACCUCGUUGUUAUUCAAAGAGCCGCGACAAAAAGAGAGAUAUGUAUCUUUCUAUGUCUCUGAUUCAAUGUUUGUUUUGAUCGAAUCAGUUUACUGAGCUUAUGGUUUUCGUAGGUACUCCAUGGAGAGAGGAAGAAAGAAGGAUCUAUUCAGUAUCGGGUUUACUGAAGCUUCAUAAAAGACGUUGUAGUUACAUUGUUGGUUGUGAGUUUACUUUUGAUGCAUUACGGAAAUAACACAAACGGAUUCACCAUCAUUAAAGCAUCCGUAUUUCAUUGCAGAAAGCAAGAGGUUAUAUGCUUCACUGAAGAUGAGGGAUUCGUAUGUGUGGGUUAAGCUCGCUUUGAUUCAGGUGGAAGACAGUAAGAAAACAUGGGACAGAAGAAGACAUUUGGUGGUUUGUAUCUCGUGAGUUCCAUGUAAUAAGUGUAGUAAUAAGUUGUAUCUCGUGAGUAGACAGUAACCUUGUGACAGAAGAAGACAUUUGGUGGUUUGUAUCUCGUGAGUUCAAUGUAAUAAGUGUUGUAAUAAGUUGUAUCUUGUGAGUAGACAGUAACCUUGUGACAGAAGAAGACAAUAUUAGUUGUGUCUUUAUAAGUUGUGUCUUUAUAAGUUGUGUUUUGCUUUCUUAUUUCUUAUUUUUCUCCAAAACGUGUACCGAGCACAUCAAAACGAUACUAAAAGAACCGAGCAAAACAUAACACAAUAUUUCUUCACAUAUCUUUCUACGUUGUUUCUUCACAUUUCUUAACUUAUUUCUUCUAAAUUGUUUCUGCACAUUUCUUAACUACCGAGAGAGAGAUACUCUAUAUUGUUUCUUCACAUUUCUUAACUUCUUUCUUCACAUAUCUUUUUUAAUGGCAUCAUCUUCUUCUAAUAAUUUCGAAGAAAUGGAUAAAAGAUUUGAACAAAGUUUCGAUCAACAAUUCGAAAAUCUUCUCAUUCAUCAUGGCGAGCAUGAAGAAGUAUCAAGGUCUAAAAAGAAACAAGCCUACAUUGAAAGACAACGAGAAUAAGGACACAUGCAGUUAUGGAACGAUUAUUUUAGUGAAGAUGCAACAUAUCCUUCUCACAUGUUUCGACGCCGUUUUCGAAUGAACAAGCCCUUGUUCAUGCGUAUUGUUGAUCGACUCUCCGUUGAACUCCCAUACUUUCAACAAAGAAGAGAUGCUACUGGAAGGUUCUGUCACUCUCCGUUACAAAAGGCAACGACAUCAAUUCAUAUGAUGACAUAUGGUUGCCCAGCUGAUGCGGUCGACGAAUACCUCCGACUUGGUGAGUCCACCGCACUUUUAUGCUUGGAACAUUUUGUUCUUGGAAUCAUAAAUUUACUUGGAGAUGAGUAUCUAAGAAGACCCACGCCAGAAGAUCUUCAACGACUACUCGAUAUUGGAGAGAUACGCGGAUUUCCCGGGAUGAUAGGAAGCACCGAUUGUAUGCAUUGGGAGUGGAAGAAUUGUCCGGCCGCAUGGAAAUGUCAAUAUACACGUGGAUCAGGAAAGCCAACCAUUGUUUUAGAGGCUGUAGCUUCACACGAUAUCUGAUAUGGCAUGCAUUUUUCGGACCCCCAGGUACAUUAAACGAUAUCAAUAUUCUUGAUCGAUCACCGGUUUUUGAUGAUAUAUUACAAGGUCGAGCUCCAAAGGUUAAUUACAUUGUCAACGGACACGAGUACCAUUUGGCUUACUAUCUCACAUAUGGUAUUUAUCCAAAAUGGGCUACUUUUGUCCAAUCUAUUUCACUUCCGCAAGGUCCGAAAGCAUCCUUAUUCGCUACACAUCAAGAAGUUGUACGUAAAGAUGUCGAGCGUACUUUUGGGGUCUUGCAAGUUCGAUUUGCCAUAGUCAAAAAUCCAGCUCUUUUGUGGGAUAAAAUAAAAAUUGGAAAGAUAAUGAGAGCAUGUAUCAUUCUACAUAAUAUGAUCGUAGAAGACGAACGAGAUGGGUGCACUCAGUUUGAUGUAUCAGUGUUUGCACAACCGAAGUUCACAAGUGGAUUUCACGUAUUCUACGAAUAUGCCUUCAAAUCUCGGCAAUAUGAUGAGCAUUCGGAAUCGAGUUCGUGAUAAAACAAUACAUCAACAAUUGAAAGCUGAUUUGGUUGAGAAUAUAUGACAAAAAUUUGGAACAAAUCAAGAUUUUAACUAAUCGGCUUUUUCUCGUUUACAAUUUGUAUUUGUAUUUUUAAUAUGUUUUUAUGUCAUUUUUAUUAAAAAAUUUAUGUAUGCUUUUAUUUUAAAUCAUUCUACUUAAAAAAAUAAAUUUAAGAACCCAACGAAGUUAUCCCAUUAGAGGAGGAAAAAAAUAUUUUCACUAACUAAAGUUCUUAACUUUUUAAAUAACUUUAUUAAUUACUAAUUAAUUUAAUCAUAAGAGGUCAUUAGGGGUUCUAAUGGAAGGACUUGCUCCGAAAAACUUCAAGCUCUGUCCGUAUUCCAUCUUAUGUUUCCUUGCACUUCGCUUGCACAGCCGCAAUUCACUGAUAGAGCUUGCGGCAACUGUGAAGAUUUUCUUUUAAGAACAAUACAACUCUUUUGUUUUACAUACAAAAACUAAACUCAGAGCAACUAAGAAUCUGAGAUCAACAAUGGUUAGAAUAUUAAAGCUACAAAAAAAAGGAUAUCCGUUACAGUCCAAUCAGUUUGACCAAGUGAAAUAUUGUUGUAUUUUUCAACACGUCGCUUACACAGAAACUGACGCUUUAGGGCAAAGCGCUUUGCUUCAAGUCUUGUUUAAACCGAACCGGAAAAAAAAGCGGUUUACACAAACCGUUAUUUCGUUUCAUAGGCUUUCUCUCUCGCUAUCCAAUUACUUCAUCUUUUUCGAGCCUAAAAUACUAAAUCAGGGUCAGGCUCAAUAUGGGCCAAGUUAGCUUAGCCCGUCAUAACAUUUCAGUGGCACAUACGGCCCACUGGCUUCCUCUGCGUUCUGUGUGGUGAUUGAAGCCCGUUUUGCUACUUCUUUUAUCUUUUGUACUGAACUGUUUUGUUUCUUCCUGUCCUCUGGUUCUUGAGCAGCUCAAAGAGAAGGCGCUAAAGUGAGCUGGACUGGCAGAGAACAUGUGUUGCAGAGAGUGAAGGGAGAGGACAGACGCAAGAAAAAAUAAAGAAUAUGAAAGAUUUGGAGACCAGUCAAGAGCCUGCAACUACAACUUGAGCUUUUAAACUUAUAUACUAUAGUCUCUAUUCUUGUUUUGUAUCAUAUUUGUUGAUUUCGAGUAACGUCUAAAGAGUUACAUUGAAUUCUUGCUUCAUUCAUUUUUGCUGUGUGGUGUUCUCAGAGUAACCAUAGGAAGUUAAUUGUCUAUUUAACUAAAAGAAAAUGAUAGCCAAGCGAAAAGGUGAGAACGCUUUAAAAAUCCAACUAAACUGAACCGGAUCUGGUUUGUUGAUUUCGAUUCAAUCCGGUUAUGUAAUCAACGUGGAAAAGGAAAAGAAACUGGUUUGCCAAAUUUAUUGUUCUUACAAAUCUUGUUUUUGACUUGAGCAAAGAGAUGUUAGUUUUGGAGUAUACAUGUGGUGGAGUCUCACAUGGGUUUCACUAGAUAUAGGUUUGAGGCGGGUAAUGAUGAAACAAGGGAAUCAUUAGGAAAAUUCGGGGUCCCUCAUUUCAAUGUCGACUGUCUCCUCAAAUAUAUUUCUUCUUAUUAAAUGAAAUAUUCGUAUCAAUCCAAAAAUGUGAAU